rnacentral:rRNA from 1 species
UACGGAGGGGGUUAGCGUUGUUCGGAAUUACUGGGCGUAAAGCGCGCGUAGGCGGAUUAGAAAGUUGGGGGUGAAAUCCCGGGGCCCAACCCCGGAACUGCCUCCAAAACUACUAGUCUAGAGUUCGAGAGAGGUGAGUGGAAUUCCGAGUGUAGAGGUGAAAUUCGUAGAUAUUCGGAGGAACACCAGUGGCGAAGGCGGCUCACUGGCUCGAUACUGACGCUGAGGUGCGAAAGUGUGGGGAGCAAACAGG